GAUGAACGCUAGCUACAGGCUUAACACAUGCAAGUCGAGGGGUAGCAGGGUAGCAAUACCGCUGACGACCGGCGCACGGGUGAGUAACACGUAUCCAACCUUCCCAUAACUCGGGGAUAGCCUUUCGAAAGAAAGAUUAAUACCCGAUAGUAAUUAACAAAGGCAUCUUUGAUAAGUCAAAGAUUUAUUUGUUAUGGAUGGGGUUGCGUUCCAUUAGAUAGUUGGUGAGGUAACGGCUCACCAAGUCUUCGAUGGAUAGGGGUUCUGAGAGGAAGGUCCCCCACAUUGGUACUGAGACACGGACCAAACUCCUACGGGAGGCAGCAGUGAGGAAUAUUGGUCAAUGGGCGAGAGCCUGAACCAGCCAAGUAGCGUGAAGGAUGAAGGUCCUAUGGAUUGUAAACUUCUUUUAUAGUAGAAUAAAGUGAUCCACGUGUGGAUUUUUGUAUGUAUACUAUGAAUAAGGAUCGGCUAACUCCGUGCCAGCAGCCGCGGUAA
rnacentral:rRNA from 1 species